rnacentral:rRNA from 1 species
AGAGUUUGAUCCUGGCUCAGGAUGAACGCUGGCGGCGUGCUUAACACAUGCAAGUCGAACGAUCCUUCGGGAUAGUGGCGGACGGGUGAGUAACGCGUGGGAAUCUGCCCUCAGGAGGGGGAUAACGGCUGGAAACGGCCGCUAAUACCCCAUAUGCCGAGAGGUGAAAUGAAUUUCGCCUGAGGAUGAGCCCGCGUCUGAUUAGCUAGUUGGUGGGGUAAAGGCCUACCAAGGCAACGAUCAGUAGCUGGUCUGAGAGGAUGAUCAGCCACACUGGGACUGAGACACGGCCCAGACUCCUACGGGAGGCAGCAGUGGGGAAUUUUCCGCAAUGGGCGAAAGCCUGACGGAGCAACGCCGCGUGAGGGAUGAAGGCCUCUGGGCUGUAAACCUCUUUUCUCAAGGAAGAAGACCUGACGGUACUUGAGGAAUAAGCCACGGCUAAUUCCGUGCCAGCAGCCGCGGUAAUACGGGAGUGGCAAGCGUUAUCCGGAAUUAUUGGGCGUAAAGCGUCCGCAGGCGGCCUUGUAAGUCUGUUGUUAAAGCGUGGAGCUCAACUCCAUUUAAGCAAUGGAAACUACAAGGCUGGAGUGUGGUAGGGGCAGAGGGAAUUCCCGGUGUAGCGGUGAAAUGCGUAGAUAUCGGGAAGAACACCAGUGGCGAAGGCGCUCUGCUGGGCCAUAACUGACGCUCAUGGACGAAAGCCAGGGGAGCGAAAGGGAUUAGAUACCCCUGUAGUCCUGGCCGUAAACGAUGAACACUAGGUGUCGGGGGAAUCGACCCCCUCGGUGUCGUAGCCAACGCGUUAAGUGUUCCGCCUGGGGAGUACGCACGCAAGUGUGAAACUCAAAGGAAUUGACGGGGGCCCGCACAAGCGGUGGAGUAUGUGGUUUAAUUCGAUGCAACGCGAAGAACCUUACCAGGGUUUGACAUCCUGCGAACCCCUGAGAAAUCGGGGGGUGCCUUCGGGAGCGCAGAGACAGGUGGUGCAUGGCUGUCGUCAGCUCGUGUCGUGAGAUGUUGGGUUAAGUCCCGCAACGAGCGCAACCCACGUCUUUAGUUGCCAGCAUUCAGUUGGGCACUCUAGAGAGACCGCCGGUGAUAAACCGGAGGAAGGUGUGGAUGACGUCAAGUCAUCAUGCCCCUUACAUCCUGGGCUACACACGUACUACAAUGCUACGGACAAAGGGCAGCAAGCUCGCGAGAGUUAGCAAAUCCCAUAAACCGUGGCUCAGUUCAGAUCGUAGGCUGCAACUCGCCUACGUGAAGGAGGAAUCGCUAGUAAUCGCAGGUCAGCAUACUGCGGUGAAUACGUUCCCGGGCCUUGUACACACCGCCCGUCACACCAUGGAAGUUGGCCAUGCCCGAAGUCGUUACUCCAACCCUUGUGGAGGAGGACGCCGAAGGUGGGGCUGAUGACUGGGGUGAAGUCGAAACAAGGUA